ACUAAGAGACAUAUGGAUCGGCGAACUGUGUUUUUACGCGAGGCGUCGUCGAGUACCGAGGUUGAAUUGGAGACUGAGUACUAUCGUGCGGACACGCUGGAAUUUGAAUUGACAUCAAGUCGUUCCCUAGAAUGUAACGACGAUGUUCUGCAGUUGCAACAGUUUGAAGGAGAUGGCAGUGAAUCUGAUAUCCGGACCGAUGCAAGUAUAACAGAGGCACUUCUGCUGAAGCCAAGUUUGCAAUUGCCUAAGAAACAGUUGAAAUACGAUUGGAGCACAGUUAGGUGUGACUGCAAGACUUUAUUGGGAAAUGGUGUAUCACUGGUGGUCAUGGUAGUAGGAAUUGUUCUUACUACUGUGUAUGGCAGUCACUUUUCAAAAUAUUGCUGUCACAACAUGACGCAGCAUAACAGCAGCAAGUUGGCUGAUGAAUGUAUUGGCAUUUCAUGUAAAUAUUAUGUUGCUUUCAAGAUGAUCCGGUCGAUUGGGUUAUUUAUGCUCUCAGGUGGAGUAACCAAUUGGAUCGCUGUUGAAAUGUUAUUUAGAAAAGUGCCUCUACUCCUUGGAAGUGGAGUGGUUGUCAGACACUUUGAAGAGAUUCGUGAGACACUAAAACAAACAGUGUUAGACACAUUCUUUGAACCAGUCUUUAUGCAGCAAUACGUUGAUGCCAAAUCAGAUGAGAUUUUAGACUCAUUUCACCUUGAAGUGAAGUUAGAGGCAUUUCUGGACACACCAGUUGUUCAAGAAAUAAUGGAACAACACUUCAAUGAUGUGUUCACUCAGCCAGAAGGUCUAAUUCUGUUACUGAUGGGAGUUACAAGAGAAAACCUGUGUGGUCACAUGAAACCAUUUAUUAUUGCUACAGCUCAUGACUGUGCCCCACUGUAACUAUCUACUACGACAAUUUGGAGAUAUCAUAUUAGUUCUGACCUGUUUUAUUCAAAGUCUGAGUCUGCCACUGCAUGUCUUGACAUCAGAUGAGCAAGAGGUUCUUCAUCUUUCACAUUUUCACCGGAGAUAAUCUUUUGCGCUUUGACAUUUUCCAGAAGUCUAAUUAAACGCCACGUACUAUGUGGGAAAAGAUUUGGAUACUGCACAAGUUCAGUGCAUUGGUGACCAAGCUUAAUCAUUAGAGAUAUCAACAAAGGAGUGUUAUUUGCAACAUUCUCAAUGUCCUUGAGUAAUAUGGCACUCAGUUGUAGUAUAGAUAUACAAGGAGAUUACUUUCAAUAAUAUGCAGUAGUUGGAUUGCAAGUAGAAUAAUUCAUUUGAUCAACAGCAUAGCUUGGCACAAACUUUUGAAACGACCCUUAUCUACAUGUGCUUUCGCUAGUUACAUUUUAUGAGUUUAAUAGCAAAAUGACAUUGUGAAGUUUAAUUGCUGGAAAUUGUAGCUACUGCACCUAUAAAUACUAAUUGUUUGUAUGCUACAGUUAAUACAAAGUGUAAGAACACAAUAUUCAAUUGAUGCUCUCAAGCUUCAUAAGCAAAUUAAACAAAUGAUGGUUUCUAAAGUCAACGACAUGUCACCUCAAAGGGUUAGGCAGCUUAUUGAGGAGAU